UCUUUUAUAAUGCUCGAUCAUGAUAUCCUCAAAACCACUCUAAUUUAUAUUGCACUCAUCAUAUAAAACUAUUGCCGAAUUUGUUGUAAAUCAUCCUUCUUUCAAUGUCUAAACGACCUCCAUGCAUUUGAAUUGAAUAAUUACCAGGUUGAAUCCAAUAUAUUUUGCAAACAUCAAACAUUCCUUUAAAGCAUAGACUUCCGCCAUUGGUGCAUCCUUUGAAUUGAUAAUCGAACUGUAAUGGUUUGAUAGGAUGAUUGAUGAUUGUUCUAUUGGACCCAUGGCUUUAAAUAGUCUGUUAUAGCUUCAUUAUAGCGUUGCUAUAGAUUUUUAGACUAUCUACCACUUUGCUAUUGCUAAUUAGUCUACUAUUGCCGCUAAUGAUAUUUUAGCUCUACUAAAUGCCACAAUUUGGUUUUGCCAUGAUAUACUUUUAACAUUGUUAAUUCUGAUUAAAAGACCUAUUUAGUUUUUAGUCAACUAAAGGACUAUAAUAU
rnacentral:lncRNA from 1 species